AGCAGUCGCCGCGGUAAUACGUAGGUCCCGAGCGUUGUCCGGAUUUAUUGGGCGUAAAGGGAGCGCAGGCGGUUUAGUAAGCCUGAAGUUAAAGGCAUUGGCUCAACCAAUGUAUGCUUUGGAAACUGUUAGACUUGAGUGCAGAAGGGGAGAGUGGAAUUCCAUGUGUAGCGGUGAAAUGCGUAGAUAUAUGGAGGAACACCGGUGGCGAAAGCGGCUCUCUGGUUUGUAACUGACGCUGAGGCUCGAAAGCGUGAGGAGCAAACAGGGUUAGAUACCCCUGUAGUCCCUGUCUCUUAUACA
rnacentral:rRNA from 1 species